CGGCGGACGGGUGAGUAACGCGUGGGUAACCUGCCUCAUACAGGGGGAUAACAGUUAGAAAUGACUGCUAAUACCGCAUAAGACCACGGUACCGCAUGGUACAGUGGUAAAAACUCCGGUGGUAUGAAAUGGACCCGCGUCUGAUUAGGUAGUUGGUGGGGCAACGGCCUACCAAGCCGACGAUCAGUAGCCGACCUGAGAGGGUGACCGGCCACAUUGGGACUGAGACACGGCCCAG
rnacentral:rRNA from 1 species